rnacentral:rRNA from 1 species
UACAGAGGGUGCGAGCGUUAAUCGGAAUUACUGGGCGGAAAGGGUGCGUAGGUGGUUUGGUAAGUUAGAUGUGAAAUUCCUGGGCUUAACCUGGGGACUGCGUCUGAUACUGCUAGGCUAGAGUACUGUAGAGGGAAGUGGAAUUUCCGGUGUAGCAGUGAAAUGCGUAGAUAUUGGGAAGAACACCGGUGGCGAAGGCGGCUCUCUGGACCGAGACUGACGCUGAGGCGCGAAAGCGUGGGGAGCAAACAGG